CAGUCGCCGCGGUAAUACGUAGGGUGCAAGCGUUAAUCGGAAUUACUGGGCGUAAAGCGUGCGCAGGCGGUUAUAUAAGACAGAUGUGAAAUCCCCGGGCUCAACCUGGGAACUGCAUUUGUGACUGUAUAGCUAGAGUACGGCAGAGGGGGAUGGAAUUCCGCGUGUAGCAGUGAAAUGCGUAGAUAUGCGGAGGAACACCGAUGGCGAAUGCAAUCCCCUGGGCCUGUACUGACGCUCAUGCACGAAAGCGUGGGGAGCAAACAGGAUUAGAUACCCGGGUAGUCCCUGUCUCUUAUAC
rnacentral:rRNA from 1 species